rnacentral:rRNA from 1 species
UUAUGUGUGCCCAAGCAUUGAGGCAGUCAAAGUAGGCAAAUCCGCUUUGAUAAUGCUGGGAUGUGAUGGGGAGCGAAAUUUAGUAGCGAAGUAGCUGAUUUCACACUGUCAAGAAAAGUCUCUAUCGAGGUUAAAGGUACCCGUACCGCAAACCGACACAGGUGGGUGAGGAGAGUAUCCUAAGGCCAGCGAGAGAACUGUUGUUAAGGAACUCGGCAAAAUGACCCCGUAACUUAGGGAUAAGGGGUGCCACCAUCAGGUGGCCGCAGAGAAUAGGCCCAAGCGACUGUUUACCAAAAACAUAGGUUUCUGCUAAGUCGCAAGACGAUGUAUAGGAGCUGACGCCUGCCCGGUGCUGGAAGGUUAAGGGGAUCUGUUAGAGCAAUCGAAGCAGUGAACUUAAGCCCCAGUAAACGGCGGCCGUAACUAUAACGGUCCUAAGGUAGCGAAAUUCCUUGUCGGGUAAGUUCCGACCCGCACGAAAGGCGUAACGAUUUGGGCACUGUCUCAACAACAGACUCGGUGAAAUUGUAAUUCCGGUGAAGAUGCCGGAUACCUGCGACAGGACGGAAAGACCCCAUGGAGCUUUACUGUAGCUUGACAUUGGGUCUUGGUACUACAUGUACAGGAUAGGUGGGAGGCUUUGAAACCAGGACGCCAGUUUUGGCGGAGCCAUCCUUGGGAUACCACCCUUGUAGUACUGGGACUCUAACCAUAGGCCAUGAAUCUGGUCUUGGGACACUGUCAGGUGGGCAGUUUGACUGGGGCGGUCGCCUCCCAAAAGGUAACGGAGGCGCUCAAAGGUUCUCUCAGUACGGUCGGAAAUCGUACGUAGAGUGUAAAGGCAAAAGAGAGCUUGAUUGCAAGACAUACAGGUCGAGCAAGGAUGAAAAUCGGACUUAGUGAUCCGGUGGUUCUGCGUGGAAGGGCCAUCGCUCAACGGAUAAAAGCUACCCUGGGGAUAACAGGCUUAUCUCCCCCAAGAGUCCACAUCGACGGGGAGGUUUGGCACCUCGAUGUCGGCUCAUCACAUCCUGGGGCUGUAGUAGGUCCCAAGGGUUGGGCUGUUCGCCCAUUAAAGUGGUACGCGAGCUGGGUUCAGAACGUCGUGAGACAGUUCGGUCCCUAUCCGUCGCAGGCGUAGGAAAUUUGAGAAGACCUGUCCUUAGUACGAGAGGACCGGGAUGGACGUACCUCUGGUGUACCAGUUGUCCUGCCAAGGGCAUGGCUGGGUAGCUAUGUACGGAAUGGAUAAGCGCUGAAAGCAUCUAAGCGCGAAGCCAACUUCAAGAUAAGAUUUCCCACCGCAAGGGUAAGACCCCAGAAAGACUAUCUGGUUGAUAGGUCGAAGGUGUAAGUGCAGCAAUGUAUUUAGCUUAUCGAUACUAAUAGGUCGAGGACUUGACC